rnacentral:sRNA from 1 species
CGCUUGAGUCCAGGAGUUGAAGGUUGCUGUGAGCUGUGAUGCCAUGGCACUCUACCCAGGGGGAUAGCUUGAGGCUCUGUCUCAAAAAAAAAAAGUGCUAUUAGCAGCCACAUCUUUUUUUUCUUUUUUUUUUUUUUUUUUUGAGACGGAGGCUCAAGCUAUCCCCCUGGGUAGAGUGCCAUGGCAUCACGCUCACAGCAACCUCCAACUCCUGGACUCAAGCGAGCCUCCUGCCUCAGCCUCCCAAGUAGCUGGAACCACAGGCGCCUGCCAUAACGCCUGGC